UUAUUUUCCAGAAUAGUAGGUAAACAUCUCAGCGAUUUCGCGCCGUUUGUAUGGAAGUGAGACAGGCCUGCUUCCGAUUUGAA